UACAGGGGGGUGCAAACGUUGCUCGGAAUCAUUGGGCGUAAAGCGCACGUAGGCGGUUCGUUAUGUCGGAUGUGAAGGCCCUUGGCUUAACCGAGGAAGUGCAUCCGAAACUGGCGAGCUAGAGUACGAAAGAGGAUCGCGGAAUUCCCGGUGUAGAGGUGAAAUUCGUAGAUAUCGGGAGGAACACCGGUGGCGAAGGCGGCGAUCUGGGUCGAUACUGACGCUGAGGUGCGAAAGCGUGGGGAGCAAACAGG
rnacentral:rRNA from 1 species